UCCUCCCUCUGUCGGCGUGCUUAACACAUGCAAGUCGCACGGAAAGGCCCUGCUUUUGUGGGGUGCUCGAGUGGCGAACGGGCGCGUAACACGUGAGUAACCUGCCCUUGACUUUGGGCUAACUUCAGGACACUGGGGCUAAUACCGGAUAGGAGCUCCUGCUGCAUGGUGGGGGUUGGAAAGUUUCGGCGGUUGGGGAUGGACUCGCGGCUUAUCAGCUUGUUGGUGGGGUAGUGGCUUACCAAGGCUUUGACGGGUAGCCGGCCUGAGAGGGGGACCGGCCACAUUGGGACUGAGAUACGGCCCAGACUCCUACGGGAGGCAGCAGUAGGGAAUAAUGCACAAUGGGCGGAAGCCGGAUGCAGCAACGCCGCGUGCGGGAUGACGGCCUUCGGGUUGGAAACCGCUUUCGCCUGUGACGAAGCGUGAGUGACGGUAAUGGGUAAAGAAGCACCGGCUAACUACGUG
rnacentral:rRNA from 1 species